GAUGAACGCUAGCUACAGGCUUAACACAUGCAAGUCGAGGGGCAGCAUGGUCUUAGCUUGCUAAGGCCGAUGGCGACCGGCGCACGGGUGAGUAACGCGUAUCCAACCUGCCUUACACUCUUGGACAGCCUUUCUGAAAGGGAGAUUAAUACAAGAUGUUAUCAUGAGUAAGCAUUUUCGCAUGAUUAAAGGUUUACCGGUGUAAGAUGGGGAUGCGUUCCAUUAGAUAGUAGGCGGGGUAACGGCCCACCUAGUCUUCGAUGGAUAGGGGUUCUGAGAGGAAGGUCCCCCACAUUGGAACUGAGACACGGUCCAA
rnacentral:rRNA from 1 species